rnacentral:lncRNA from 1 species
UGGUGGAAUCGCCAUUGGCGUUUGUAUUUCGCAUAGAAUUCUUGAUGGGACUGCACUAAGCAUAUUCCUUAAAGGUUGGGCUACUGCAGCUUUUGCUUCAUCCAAAGAAGUUGUGUAUCCCGAUUUCUCUGCAUCUUCUCUUUUCCCUGCUAAUGAUUUAAGGCUUAAAAAUGGAUCAAUGUCCAUGUGGGGUGCUGUUUUCAAGAAAGGAGAGUUCAUUACAAAAAGAUUUGUAUUUGAUAGUUUGGCUAUAGAAAAACUCAAAGAAAUGGCAACUACCUGCUCAAGUGUGAGGCAUCCUACUCGAGUCGAGGCCAUUUCUGCAUUCAUAUGGAAAUAUGCAAUGGCUGCAUCAGAGAAAAAACGUGGUUCGAAGAAGGCUUCUUUGAUCACACAUAUCGUAAAUCUCCGAAAGAGGGCAGCUCCAA